GGUUAAGCGACUAAGCGUACACGGUGGAUGCCCUGGCAGUCAGAGGCGAUGAAGGACGUGCUAAUCUGCGAUAAGCGCCGGUAAGGUGAUAUGAACCGUUAUAACCGGCGAUUUCCGAAUGGGGAAACCCAGUGUGAUUCGUCACACUAUCAUUAACUGAAUCCAUAGGUUAAUGAGGCGAACCGGGGGAACUGAAACAUCUAAGUACCCCGAGGAAAAGAAAUCAACCGAGAUUCCCCCAGUAGCGGCGAGCGAACGGGGAGGAGCCCAGAGCCUGAAUCAGCAUGUGUGUUAGUGGAAGCGUCUGGAAAGGCGCGCGAUACAGGGUGACAGCCCCGUACACAAAAGCGCAUGUGCUGUGAGCUCGAUGAGUAGGGCGGGACACGUGGUAUCCUGUCUGAAUAUGGGGGGACCAUCCUCCAAGGCUAAAUACUCCUGACUGACCGAUAGUGAACCAGUACCGUGAGGGAAAGGCGAAAAGAACCCCGGCGAGGGGAGUGAAAAAGAACCUGAAACCGUGUACGUACAAGCAGUGGGAGCACAGGUUUACCUGUGUGACUGCGUACCUUUUGUAUAAUGGGUCAGCGACUUAUAUUCUGUAGCAAGGUUAACCGUAUAGGGGAGCCGUAGGGAAACCGAGUCUUAACCGGGCGUUAAGUUGCAGGGUAUAGACCCGAAACCCGGUGAUCUAGCCAUGGGCAGGUUGAAGGUUGGGUAACACUAACUGGAGGACCGAACCGACUAAUGUUGAAAAAUUAGCGGAUGACCUGUGGCUGGGGGUGAAAGGCCAAUCAAACCGGGAGAUAGCUGGUUCUCCCCGAAAGCUAUUUAGGUAGCGCCUCGUGAAUUCAUCUCCGGGGGUAGAGCACUGUUUCGGCUAGGGGGCCAUCCCGGCUUACCAACCCGAUGCAAACUGCGAAUACCGGAGAAUGUUAUCACGGGAGACACACGGCGGGUGCUAACGUCCGUCGUGAAGAGGGAAACAACCCAGACCGCCAGCUAAGGUCCCAAAGUCAUGGUUAAGUGGGAAACGAUGUGGGAAGGCCCAGACAGCCAGGAUGUUGGCUUAGAAGCAGCCAUCAUUUAAAGAAAGCGUAAUAGCUCACUGGUCGAGUCGGCCUGCGCGGAAGAUGUAACGGGGCUAAACCAUGCACCGAAGCUGCGGCAGCGACACUGUGUGUUGUUGGGUAGGGGAGCGUUCUGUAAGCCUGUGAAGGUGGCCUGUGAGGGUUGCUGGAGGUAUCAGAAGUGCGAAUGCUGACAUAAGUAACGAUAAAGCGGGUGAAAAGCCCGCUCGCCGGAAGACCAAGGGUUCCUGUCCAACGUUAAUCGGGGCAGGGUGAGUCGACCCCUAAGGCGAGGCCGAAAGGCGUAGUCGAUGGGGAAACGGGUUAAUAUUCCCGUACUUGGUGUUACUGCGAAGGGGGGACGGAGAAGGCUAUGUUGGCCGGGCGACGGUUGUCCCGGUUUAAGCGUGUAGGUGUGUGUUCCAGGUAAAUCCGGUUCACUUUAACACUGAGGCGUGACGACGAGGCACUACGGUGCUGAAGCAACAAAUGCCCUGCUUCCAGGAAAAGCCUCUAAGCAUCAGGUAACAUCAAAUCGUACCCCAAACCGACACAGGUGGUCAGGUAGAGAAUACCAAGGCGCUUGAGAGAACUCGGGUGAAGGAACUAGGCAAAAUGGUGCCGUAACUUCGGGAGAAGGCACGCUGACACGUAGGUGAAGUGAUUUACUCAUGGAGCUGAAGUCAGUCGAAGAUACCAGCUGGCUGCAACUGUUUAUUAAAAACACAGCACUGUGCAAACACGAAAGUGGACGUAUACGGUGUGACGCCUGCCCGGUGCCGGAAGGUUAAUUGAUGGGGUCAGCGCAAGCGAAAGCUCCUGAUCGAAGCCCCGGUAAACGGCGGCCGUAACUAUAACGGUCCUAAGGUAGCGAAAUUCCUUGUCGGGUAAGUUCCGACCUGCACGAAUGGCGUAAUGAUGGCCAGGCUGUCUCCACCCGAGACUCAGUGAAAUUGAACUCGCUGUGAAGAUGCAGUGUACCCGCGGCAAGACGGAAAGACCCCGUGAACCUUUACUAUAGCUUGACACUGAACAUUGAGCCUUGAUGUGUAGGAUAGGUGGGAGGCUUUGAAGUGUGGACGCCAGUCUGCAUGGAGCCGACCUUGAAAUACCACCCUUUAAUGUUUGAUGUUCUAACGUGGACCCGUAAUCCGGGUUGCGGACAGUGUCUGGUGGGUAGUUUGACUGGGGCGGUCUCCUCCUAAAGAGUAACGGAGGAGCACGAAGGUUGGCUAAUCCUGGUCGGACAUCAGGAGGUUAGUGCAAUGGCAUAAGCCAGCUUGACUGCGAGCGUGACGGCGCGAGCAGGUGCGAAAGCAGGUCAUAGUGAUCCGGUGGUUCUGAAUGGAAGGGCCAUCGCUCAACGGAUAAAAGGUACUCCGGGGAUAACAGGCUGAUACCGCCCAAGAGUUCAUAUCGACGGCGGUGUUUGGCACCUCGAUGUCGGCUCAUCACAUCCUGGGGCUGAAGUAGGUCCCAAGGGUAUGGCUGUUCGCCAUUUAAAGUGGUACGCGAGCUGGGUUUAGAACGUCGUGAGACAGUUCGGUCCCUAUCUGCCGUGGGCGCUGGAGAACUGAGGGGGGCUGCUCCUAGUACGAGAGGACCGGAGUGGACGCAUCACUGGUGUUCGGGUUGUCAUGCCAAUGGCACUGCCCGGUAGCUAAAUGCGGAAGAGAUAAGUGCUGAAAGCAUCUAAGCACGAAACUUGCCCCGAGAUGAGUUCUCCCUGAGACUUAGAGUCUCCUGAAGGAACGUUGAAGACGACGACGUUGAUAGGCCGGGUGUGUAAGCGCAGCGAUGCGUUGAGCUAACCGGUACUAAUGAACCGUGAGGCUUAACCUU
rnacentral:rRNA from 1 species